rnacentral:lncRNA from 1 species
CUCGGGCAGUGUGAGAGGAAGGGUGCCACGGGUCCUCCCUGGGCGCGACACCCACGCCACGCCACACCACGCCGCGCAGCCCUCAGUCCUCAGCCUUCCCCUCCCGAGCGCCGACACCGUCUCGCAGGCGUUCCAGUGACGGCGACACAGCCAACAGCAGCAAAAGUUCCCACGCGUUCUUGUGUUGUCGUGUUCGUGACAAAGGGUGACAGACGGAGAGAGGAAGGAAAGCAACACGUGAAUCAAAGCAAUGCAGAUAACAUAGAGGAGGGAACGCACAGACAGGCAGGGAGAAGGAACACUCAAAGGGUAAAGGUGUUCGAGGAGUGGAAGGUGACAUCAUUGGCGUGACUAGUUUGUUCGUGAUUGACGUGGAAAGUGUAAGGUUUGAAUAAAGAAUUACUCUGAUAAGACUGUAAUGGAUGAGCGGGAGGAUUAAUUGAAAGGAAGUAAACAUACGAAAAAAGGAACAUUAAAACAGAGACACAGUGAGAUAGACAGCGAGUGAAAUAGAGAGAGAGAGAGAGAGAGAGAGAGAGAGAGGAAAAAAGUAACAGAGAACACUAAUACGAAGAACGAAAGAGGAAAAAGAGACAAGAAAGAGACAGAAUGAGAUAGAUAGCGAGUGAAAUAUAGAGAAAGAAAAAAACAGAGGGAAAAAGUGGUAACAAAGAACACUAAUACGAAGAACGAAAGAGGAAAAAGAAACACAGAUAGAUAAUAAGUAAAAUAGAAAGAGAAAGAGAGAGACAGUGAGAAAAAGAAGUAACACAGAACACUAAUACGAGACAAAAGAGUAGCAGAUGGAGAGAAAAAUGCAAUAGUACACGAAAGAGAAAGACUAACAGGGAUAUAGAGAGACAGACAGUGAGAGAAAAAAAAGGAGAAAGAGAGAGAGAAAAAAAAUAAAACGUAGUGGACUGAUACGAAAGACGAAACAGAAAUUAAGAGAGAGAGAAAAGAUUAACAAUAGAGCAAUAGCGAUAGAAAGAGAAAGAUAACGAGAGAAAAAAAAAUAGAAAGAAAGAUAUGAGACAACAGUGAUCUAACAUAUAUAAAAAAAGACUAAAAAAAAGGAACUAGAGAGGAAAGAAAAACAAAUACAUCACACCAAAUCAGAGUAACAGAGAUAUAAAAAGACACGAGAGAGAAAAAAAAGGAAAAGUAGAAAGAAAAACAAACAACAGUGAACUGAUAUAAAACACGAAAAAGGAACUAAA